GUGUAAUAAUGAGAAAAGUUUACUUUUCAAAUACAUUGCUCUGGUGUUUUAAUUUUUACAAGUGUGUUUACAUAACUAAUUUUUAUAAAAUACACCUGUUGCUGCAUACCUCUUGUCCCUAUCUUGAUAACCAUCACCCAGAUUUGCAAAGGAGGCCUUGCUCAGAUAUUUGGAAACUAAUGCCCUCAGAGAGAUAUCCACCAGCCUUGUUCCUCUCAUUACUAUUUAAAGAUGGUGAUGUCAUUGGAGCUUUCCCUAGGCUGGACACUCCUAUGUUGAAGAUGCAUCGACUCACAUACUGCAUAAAUGUUUUAGAUUUUACUGUGAAGGAAACAACUCACUCCUCAGAUCCUCAGUCACCCAAGUCCACAUCUGGACUUGAGAUAUGGCUUCUCUUGUCCUAACUGGGACUUAUCUGACCCUGACAGGAGAUAACUUCAGUAGGGACUUUCCCUAAUAGCGAGCAUGCACACUUCAACUUGGCUUGCCCUGAAGGUAACAUUUACUCAUUAUAAUGGUAAAAAAAAAAAUGCCCCUGGGUGGAGAUUUCAGAGAUUCCUAAGACAUGUGAUAAUAUGUACUAACAUGUAUCACCAUAUAGCAUGUGCGCCCAGGAGACCGCCCAAAACAUGUUUGCUAGUAACACCCCUUCACAACCCCUUUCAUGAAUAAUCAUAUAAAACCCUCAUACGGGAGCUUCCCCAGUGACAAUCAGUACUGUCUCUUUUUCCAAGCAGCCCGCUCUGCCUUGGCUUUUAGAGUGUACUGUCUCUUUAAAUAAAAUCUGCAGCUGCUUCACUGUCACUGCUUACUUCUUGGCUGAAUUCUUUCCUCCAAGAAAACAAGAAAUGAAGACACCACACCUCCCAGUAACAUUACCAACUCUUUCUACUUUUUCUCUGGAGCUGGUGCUCAGAAGUUGAGAGCCCUGUGCUAAUGGUCCCAGGGUGGGAGCCUGUUUGCCCCUGUCUGGUACUCAGCAAUGUCCUUGGUCAGCUGCCUGGCAACAGCUGUCGAUUACCAGAGGGAACAAGUGAUCAGCACCAGAGUCUAUGACUUCACAGAGGAGCUGAAGUGGACGGGGUCAGCUCAGGCCUCCUGGACCAGGGCGAGAAUGUCCCGUGAUGGCAGGCUUCUCAAGCCCCAGGUCUGUGCAGGGACGAGCAAAGCAGCAGAAUAUCCGUGCCACAUCUUUCUGGAGCACCCAUUUUACUACCAGAUUUGAAAGGAACGCAGUUAAGUAAUUUCCAAGAAUCAUCUCCCCUGCCCCACAAACAGGAAAGAAAAGACAAGAGAAGCACCCCAGAAGAGGAGGGGAGAAGUGCCCCAGAAAAAAUCAUCCAGUCUCUGAAGCUUUGCCCAGGUGGGCACAGGCCAGCCAGCCUCUCCUCUAGUUGCCCAGCUGGUUGCGGGCUGUCAUUUAACCUUCCGCCUGGCAUACUUUUGAGUGUGCAGAAGUGCUGCACGCCCUCUUCUUUGAAAACCUGUUGAGCAAAUGCGUCCGCAUUUUAUGCACCUUCAACCUCCACAGCCAAAGGCCCCCAAGACCAAACAUGCUGUGCACUCACAGCAGCUCUUUGUGUCCUGCUCCUGGCCGAUCUCCUGCAUCAUCUCAUUGAGCUUCACUGAACUCUGCAUCUGCAUGCUCUGUGGAACUCAGGGUCUUCAUUUUCCGUGGAACUCAGGGUCUUCAUUUUCCGUGGAACUCAAAGUCUUCUUGCUCUGUGGAACCUGGGGUCUCCUGGCUCCACAGAACUCAGGGCCUUUGUGCUCCAUGGAACUUGGGGUCUGUGUGAUUCAUGGAACUCGGAGUCCUUGUGCUCUGUGGUACUCGGGGUCUGCAUGCUCCGUGGAAAGCACUGGGAUGCACUUGACCCCCCACAUGCACACAUACAUCCUUCAUUUUAUUCCUGGCCCUCACAUGUCCACCCUGUGAGGCUUCUUCACCCCCACUCUCCUUUGAGCUCAUGCCGGGUCUUUCGGGCUGGCCUGAAGCAUGGGUGUUGGUAGGAAGGAGUGGCUGAGGUCAUGCCUUCAGGCAAAUUCUGCUAGUGUCGCACCUGAUGGAGCUGCCUGGGGAGGAUGUUUCCUUGGAGGACACGCCCUGGCAGCCAAUGGCUUCUUAUGGUGCCUGCAUUGCUGCUGCUGCCAUGGGGGCGCCACAGGGCCACACUGGGGGCUGUUCUGGAAUUGGUGGUUUCCAUUUCCAGGUUAGGUAGGGACUGGCAGGCACCUUGGCUGUCCUUGUGGCUUCUGUCCUGGCCCUGGUCCUCCCCAGGCUGCUGAUUUUCUGGGCUGCUGCUCUUCCAGGAGGAAUUAAAUGUGGGAAUGGCUGAAACCUCAGCUUUGGAUUUGCAGAGACCCUAGGCUGUGUCAUGAAGAAAGGGAAAGGAUUGCAGAUGGUGGCGGGAUCAGCUGAAGGCAGGGCCUUCACUGUGAUGCUGGAUGAUGCUGGAUGUUUGCAAACAUUGGGAUGUUUGCAUACAGCCCAGGUUCAGUUCGGUGGCCCAUCAGCGAGUCGUGGAUCUGGUCUCACUCACAAGCCAUGGACAACAUGAGCUCAAUUUGCCAGGACUGUUGGGGUUAGGGAGAACUCAGCGUCAGGGCGGCUCUGGUUCCUUCUCAUGCUGAAACUCUGCUGGUGUUCCUCCAUGGGGCCCUUCUGGGUUUUUCUGAGGUGCCCCUCUUGCUGGAAUUGAGGAUGAGAAAUGUUUUCAGUGGGUUUGCACCCUCCACACAUAUGUAAGAGAUGUUUUGUUUCAUUCCUGUCAGUAUCCAUUGCUGCAGCUUCCUAAAGUAGUGUCUGUUAAAAGGCAGGGACCCGGUGUCCAGGCUACAGAGGGUGACUCCAGGUUUCACACCACCACUGUGGACCAGUGUGCCUAUGGCCUUAGGAGAAUUCCCAGAUAGCACAAGGGGGCUGCCCCAGAGGGUGUUCAGUUUGUUGCCAACAGUUGCUGAAGCCAAAGUCUGCAACCUUGAUGUUCAGGUCAAGCAGCCAGAAACAGGAUUUCUGGCUUUAGGUCCCUGUGGACAAUGCCGUUCUCUCCUUCCCAGGCUACUGAUGUCCUGGGUUGCUCCUCUUAUGGUAGAAGCUCACGAUGGAAUGGCUGGAGCUUGGCUGCCUCUGGUUAGAGCCUGGGUUCUGUAUUGCAGACAUGACCCAGCAGAAUUCCUCAUGAGCCCCUUUUGUCAUGGGUGCGACUGCUGGGGCCGGGGUUGUCGUGGGUAGUAAAGGUAUUUACCAAGACAGUUGUGAGUAAAGAAAGGCAAAUUUAUUACAGAAACUGUGAAAAUACAUUGCAAGAAUGCAACAUGCAGCACAGCAGAGAAGGGGCUGUCUGCAAAGAUAAAGGUCUGGAGGAAAGUUUUAUAAGGUUGUGCUGGAUGAGGCUAUGUGCAGGUGAGCUUGUGCUAUAUGCUAAGAAUAUGUUGGAAUAAUUUUAACUGCCGGGACUUUCCUCUUCUCAUGCCCAAGGGAAACGCCCUGCUGCUUUUAGCUGUCUUGUAACCCACAUGCCUUUUCGCUUCUGAAGUUGCAAGAUAAUGGCUAUGGUUUUUCACACAAAAGGGUUGCAGACUGGGUUAGGUCCCCGUACUGCCAACCUGGCUCUUUCCCAGUUUCAGUUAACUUACUGGUUUACUAGAGCCCCACACCUUUUUCUUUCAUAUGGCCAUGAUCCAGGAGGUAAUACGUCACCUCCCCUCCACUAGAAUGCUCCAUGGCCAGGGGUAAUCCUCACCUCCCCUCCACUAGAGUGCUCCAUGACCGGGGUAAUCCGUCACCUCCCCUCCGCUAGAGUGCUCCAUGACCGGGGUAAUCCUCACCUCUCCUCCACUAGAGUGCUCCAUGGCCAGGCAGUGUUUCCUGGGUCCAGAGCACCUCAAACAAUUUCAGUGUUGUGGUGACUCAGGGCCUUCACCAUGCAGACUUGGCAGCAUAGUCUAGAGGCUGGAGGGGCUCUGUGACUCCCAUUAAUGACAGUCACUGCCACGGUUUCCCCAAGCAGGAUGUACCGGGAGAACUGCUCCAUGUUGGCUCAGCAGAAUGUUAUUACAGGUAGCUCAAAAAGAGAGGGAACAGGCCUUCUCUAGAUUAUUUCAGGGAACGAGCUAUUAUUUGAAUGUUAAUUUACUUCUAUUUUAUCAAUUAAAAAUGUAAGGCCCAAGAAACUUGUUAGGAAGAAUGAAUAAAUUGAAUAAAUAUUGUUAAACUUUA